AUUGAACGCUGGCGGCAGGCUUAACACAUGCAAGUCGAGCGAGCGGCGGACGGGUGAGUAAUGUCUGGGAAACUGCCUGAUGGAGGGGGAUAACUACUGGAAACGGUAGCUAAUACCGCAUACCAUAAGAUGGGCCCAGAUGGGAUUAGCGAGUGGGUGGGGAAAAGGUUCACCUGGGGGACGAUCCCUAGCUGGUCUGAGAGGAUGACCAGCCACACUGGAACUGAGACACGGUCCAGACUCCUACGGGGGGCGGCGGUGGGGAAUAUUGCACAAUGGGCGCAAGCCUGAUGCAGCCAUGCGGGGUGUAUGAAGAAGGCCUUCGGGUUGUAAAGUACUUUCAGCGGGGAGGCGUUACCCGCAGAAGAAGCACCGGCUAACUCCGUGCCAGCCGCCGCGGUAAUU
rnacentral:rRNA from 1 species